AAAGGAAGAAAGGUUGAGGGUUCUGAGUGAAGAUGAAAAUAAUCAAAGAUUGCUUUUUGUAACUGAAGAUGAUAUAAAGAGCUUACCUUGUCUUCAGAAUGACAUACUGAUAGCUAUUAAAGCUCCACAUGGCACGAGUUUAAAAGUCCC